CCUACGGGAGGCAGCAGUAGGGAAUCUUGCGCAAUGGGCGAAAGCCUGACGCAGCCAUGCCGCGUGAAUGAUGAAGGUCUUAGGAUUGUAAAAUUCUUUCACCGGGGACGAUAAUGACGGUACCCGGAGAAGAAGCCCCGGCUAACUUCGUGCCAGCAGCCGCGGUAAUACGAAGGGGGCUAGCGUUGCUCGGAAUUACUGGGCGUAAAGGGAGCGUAGGCGGAUAGUUUAGUCAGAGGUGAAAGCCCAGGGCUCAACCUUGGAACUGCCUUUGAUACUGGCUAUCUUGAGUAUGGGAGAGGUGAGUGGAACUCCGAGUGUAGAGGUGAAAUUCGUAGAUAUUCGGAAGAACACCAGUGGCGAAGGCGACUCACUGGCCCAUUACUGACGCUGAGGCUCGAAAGCGUGGGGAGCAAACAGGAUUAGAUACCCUGGUAGUCCACGCCGUAAACGAUGAGUGCUAGUUGUCGGCAUGCAUGCAUGUCGGUGACGCAGCUAACGACAUUAAGACACCUCCGCCGUCGGGGUAGGUACGGGUCGGCGAAGAAGUUAAAACCUUAACAAAUAGAAGUUAGACGGCGUGAGACGUGCCGAACGGACGACGACGACGGGAGGUUAGG
rnacentral:rRNA from 1 species